AAACGGGUUAAUAUUCCCGUACUUGGUGUUACUGCGAAGGGGGGACGGAGAAGGCUAUGUUGGCCGGGCGACGGUUGUCCCGGUUUAAGCGUGUAGGUGUGUGUUCCAGGUAAAUCCGGUUCACUUUAACACUGAGGCGUGACGACGAGGCACUACGGUGCUGAAGCAACAAAUGCCCUGCUUCCAGGAAAAGCCUCUAAGCAUCAGGUAACAUCAAAUCGUACCCCAAACCGACACAGGUGGUCAGGUAGAGAAUACCAAGGCGCUUGAGAGAACUCGGGUGAAGGAACUAGGCAAAAUGGUGCCGUAACUUCGGGAGAAGGCACGCUGACACGUAGGUGAAGUGAUUUACUCAUGGAGCUGAAGUCAGUCGAAGAUACCAGCUGGCUGCAACUGUUUAUUAAAAACACAGCACUGUGCAAACACGAAAGUGGACGUAUACGGUGUGACGCCUGCCCGGUGCCGGAAGGUUAAUUGAUGGGGUCAGCGCAAGCGAAGCUCCUGAUCGAAGCCCCGGUAAACGGCGGCCGUAACUAUAACGGUCCUAAGGUAGCGAAAUUCCUUGUCGGGUAAGUUCCGACCUGCACGAAUGGCGUAAUGAUGGCCAGGCUGUCUCCACCCGAGACUCAGUGAAAUUGAACUCGCUGUGAAGAUGCAGUGUACCCGCGGCAAGACGGAAAGACCCCGUGAACCUUUACUAUAGCUUGACACUGAACAUUGAGCCUUGAUGUGUAGGAUAGGUGGGAGGCUUUGAAGUGUGGACGCCAGUCUGCAUGGAGCCGACCUUGAAAUACCACCCUUUAAUGUUUGAUGUUCUAACGUGGACCCGUGAUCCGGGUUGCGGACAGUGUCUGGUGGGUAGUUUGACUGGGGCGGUCUCCUCCUAAAGAGUAACGGAGGAGCACGAAGGUUGGCUAAUCCUGGUCGGACAUCAGGAGGUUAGUGCAAUGGCAUAAGCCAGCUUGACUGCGAGCGUGACGGCGCGAGCAGGUGCGAAAGCAGGUCAUAGUGAUCCGGUGGUUCUGAAUGGAAGGGCCAUCGCUCAACGGAUAAAAGGUACUCCGGGGAUAACAGGCUGAUACCGCCCAAGAGUUCAUAUCGACGGCGGUGUUUGGCACCUCGAUGUCGGCUCAUCACAUCCUGGGGCUGAAGUAGGUCCCAAGGGUAUGGCUGUUCGCCAUUUAAAGUGGUACGCGAGCUGGGUUUAGAACGUCGUGAGACAGUUCGGUCCCUAUCUGCCGUGGGCGCUGGAGAACUGAGGGGGGCUGCUCCUAGUACGAGAGGACCGGAGUGGACGCAUCACUGGUGUUCGGGUUGUCAUGCCAAUGGCACUGCCCGGUAGCUAAAUGCGGAAGAGAUAAGUGCUGAAAGCAUCUAAGCACGAAACUUGCCCCGAG
rnacentral:rRNA from 1 species